rnacentral:rRNA from 1 species
GAUGAACGCUGGCGGCGUGCCUAAUACAUGCAAGUCGAGCGAACAGACGAGGAGCUUGCUCCUCUGACGUUAGCGGCGGACGGGUGAGUAACACGUGGAUAACCUACCUAUAAGACUGGGAUAACUUCGGGAAACCGGAGCUAAUACCGGAUAAUAUAUUGAACCGCAUGGUUCAAUAGUGAAAGACGGUUUUGCUGUCACUUAUAGAUGGAUCCGCGCCGCAUUAGCUAGUUGGUAAGGUAACGGCUUACCAAGGCAACGAUGCGUAGCCGACCUGGGAGGGUGAUCGGCCACACUGAAACUGAGACACGGUCCAGACUCCUACGGGAGGCAGCAGUAGGGAAUCUUCCGCAAAGGGCGAAAGCCUGACGGAGCAACGCCGCGUGAGUGAUGAAGGUCUUCGGAUCGUAAAACUCUGUUAUUAGGGAAGAACAAAUGUGUAAGUAACUAUGCACGUCUUGACGGUACCUAAUCAGAAAGCCACGGCUAACUACGUG